UUAAAGCAUCUGAAACUUUAUAAGUGAUUGCAAAUACAUUUGUGCAAUUACUGACUGGUGCCGUGGUGAAAAAUUUGUCAACUGGACUUCUCAGUUAUAAAUUAAAGAAUUACAGAUGUUCUUAAAAAAAAUACGGGAUGUCGGGAUGAUCAUAGUGACUUGAAAACGCGUAAGAUGUUUAAUUAAAUUUUGAUGUCUUUUUUUUUAAUAUUGGGAAUGAAAAGAAAAGAAUUAUCACUUAUUUUCUUUAUGUUUUCCAUAUAUAAAUUUCAUUUUGGGUAAAUUUGAGGCAGGAAAAAUCUAUUAAAUAACGAAAAUUGCCAAUCAAUCUCGCAGUGCACAAAUUAUUCGGAAGACUCUUACAAUCGCUACGUAGUUUAAGGUGACCCCAGAGGAGUAUCGAUUGAGGCACGCUAUCGUUGGCGCCAUUUUAGAUGCUGAAGCCGAACAAACUACAACCUGUAAAUUACAUCGGAAAUUAUAGACAUCCGUUAAUACGUGUACAAAGUGAUGGUUACAUUACCUUAGAUGAAUAUGGAUUUUUCUGGUUAUUUUGAUAUAUGUG